GAUUGAGCAAGUCGAUAGAUUCUGCCCUGCAUGGAGACCUAUCCGGAAGAACUCCCGGUUUGGAGUUGUCAACCAGAUCAAGUUCAAGCUCAGCUGCCGGGGAAAAACAAGCGGCCUCGGCAGCCUCAAUAACCAACAGACAGAGGAUGAUAAUACGCCAAAAGAAGAAGAAGGACUAGAAGAAAAACUGGAGGGGCUGACUGGACUCCUCAACGGCCCUAAAACACUCCAGAAGAAGAAGAAGUGCAGUCCCUAUGUCAACCAGAUCAAGUUCAAGCUCAGCUGCCGAGGAACAACAACAACAAGCAGGCUCGGCAGCGUCACUAACCAACAGGCAGAGGAUGACAACACGCCAAAAGAAGAAGGACUGGCGGGGCUGACUGGACUCCUCAACGGCCCUAAAACACUCCAGAAUAAGAAGAAAACAGAACGACAAAUCGACAACGUCCUCAAUCAUUUGACACCAUCAUCACAAGAACAAUGGUGACUCAGGACGCAGCCAUCCUCCCAAAGGUGAAUAAGAUGAAGGUGAAGAAGAUGAAAAAGAAAGCAAAGAAGAAGAAAAUGAAGGGAGCUGAUAACUUUGACUCUGAAAGUGAAGCAGAUAAACUGGAUUUGGAGCAGAAGAUGUAUCCCUUGUCACACUACAUCUCUGACCAGGAGGAACUUGUCAACCAGAUGUUCCUGACACUGAGUGGGUCCAAGCUGGAGGCCAUGCUGCCACCCGUGCUGAAGAGCACUCCACUGACAGAACUGAAGAGGCUUUGUAUCCAUGAGUUGCGGGGAAUGAGCAAGAAGAGAAUCCUGUGUUGCAUCAGUGGUGAGGUGAUGGAGGGAUCGUCUGGCAGUGAGGACGAGGAGGACGACAAGGGAGAGGCUGCUGCCGAGGACUCAACACAGAAUGAUGCAAACACCAAAGGAGAAAAGAGGCUGGGUGAUGAUCAGACCCCUGAAUCUUACCUCCUGAAGAAGAUCAAGGUGGAGCCUGGGUUGGAGGACAGCACAGGCAGCGGGGAAGGCAAGAGUGUGUUGGAGCUCCUGGAACUUGAGAUGCGGGCGCGGAUCAUCAAGACCAUGCUGGAGAAGGGCGACGAGGGGAAGAAGAUAACGGAGGACGCCAUCGCUGCCGUGAUGCAGAGUGCCAAGCAGAUAACCAAGGAAGGUGAUGCAGCAGCAGGAGGUGGCAGCAAGGAGGCGACAAAUCCAGUUGAGUCCAAGGAUGAUUCACAAAGGAGUUCAGGGAGAGAAGCCGUGAGUGAGGAGGAGUUGGUGGAGGAGAGAAGCAGAGGAAGGAGGAGGACUUACGGCAGGGAAGGAGACCGCAGGAGGCGCCACCGCCCACCAGGGGACAGCAAAAGAACUUCAAGCAGGUCCCGGAAGAGAGGGAGCGGCAGCUACAGUGAGGAGGACAGCCACGGACGCAGCUCCAAGAAGCCAAAGGAACCCAGCAGCUCCGAGAAACAUGCGGCCAAGAAGAAGAAAAUCACACGGAAGGAGUUUGAGGAGAGGAUGAAACGCGCCAAGAAGAACCGCACGUACCGCCAACGCAAGUCCUCGGAGGAUGAGGAGAAAACAAACGAGAAUGAGGACAAACCUGACGACGAAAAACCCAAGGAGGACAGCGAGGAAAAUACGGAUAACAAAACAGAUUCCAAGACCCAGGAUGGCAAAGACGGCGCCUCUGAUGGAAACCUCACGCAAGACGGGGCGGAGCGAGAAGCCUCAGAGAAGGAAGAAGGCGAAAUUGACAGCAACGAGGAGGAGGAGGGAGCGUGCAGCCCAACCGACAUGUCCAGUGGCAGUCACUACUCAUCCUCGUCCACCUACAGUCGAAGUCGAUCCAGAAGCUACAGUAGAAGCCUCAGCAGAAGCCCCAAGCGAGGUCGGCAGAGAAGAACCAGCAGGAGAAGUAGGAGCAGGAGUAGGAAGAGAAGGAGGAGCUACUCGCGAAGCUACAGCAGGUCAAGGAGUCCCGAGAAGAGGAAGGGGAGAGGCGAGCACCAGAAGAGGAGUUACGGGAGGAAGAGGAGUCAGGAGCCACGCAAGAGCAGCAGCGGCAAGAGGGAGGUGAAGAAGGCGUCCCCGGCGGAGGAUCUCAGCCCCAGCCGGGAGGAGGACUGGGGCCAUAAGUGCGAUAUAGAGUUUGUUGAUUCUGAGGAGGACUUCGACGACAACCCUGAGGCCACAAAGAAGGAUGCACCUGCUAAGAAAACGGUGCCGGUGAAUCGGAUCGAGCGUGCCAGUAUAAGUUUUUCCCUGCAGAAGAAGCCGGUCGGUAUCGCGCAGGGCAUAGACUUGGAUGACCUGCCGUUGAAGAAGAAGCAAGUGGCUGAUAAUAUUGAGGCUGUUGCUCCUGCUGCUCCAGUCAAGAAGCCCCCAACCAGUGAGGAAAUAGUCAUCAGCUCGGACAGUGAAGCGGAGGUGAAGGGCUCCACCAAGGGCGACACAGGGCAGAAACAGAAGAGUAAGGAACAAGCUGAAAAACCUCCUGUAACCAACAUCACCUCCUCAAGAUUAGACGGAGCAAAAACAACAGAUAUAAACCCACAAACUGAUCAGGGAAAGCUCACCAAGAAGACCAUUGACCCCGAGACCAAGCCUGAACCGGCGACUAAAGAAACACAGGAAGAUUGUAUGGAAGACUCACUCAAGCUUGCCACCAAUACCACCUGUGAAAUACCUGCCAAUAAAGGUGUGGAAAAUACAGAUAAGGCGAUUUCCAAAGAGGAGAGUCAUGCCGGAGAUUCAAAGGAGAGUAGAAAGAGUAUGGAUGACUCGGAAAGUUCACCUGAGGACACUGAAGAUGCCCCUAAAGAUGAUGAAAGGGAACACAGGGAUAUCUCUCCUGACGGUAAACUCAAGGAUAAGUCAGAAUCAUUAAGGACAGACCCUCUCAGUGAUGGCUCAGUAGAUUCAAAGGGCAAAAGUAGUGAUGGUUUGAGUGAGGAGAGAGAACAAGAUACAGUAGAGGAUGCAAUGGAUACCCACAUCUCAGGGGGUGAUGCUGUGAAGUCCGACGAGGUGAACUUAAAUGAGACAGAGGUGACGGAAAUCUCAUUCAAGAAAUCCCGGAAAAGAAAAGCAGAUAAAGUUGUAAAUUUGAAACCCACAACUGCCCUUCAUUCACUGGAGGAGGAAGAGCAAACAGAAGCCUUGACAUCAUCUUCCACUGACACAAGAAGCCAAAAAUGUGGAGAUAAGGGAGUGGAACCUAAAGAUGAAGACAUGGCAUUAGAUUCUGAGAGGGAGGAGAUAGUGGAAAAAAGUGACAGCUCAGAAACCAGUGCCCAGAAGGAGGAGGAGGAGGAGGAGGAGGAGGAGGAAGCAGAUAAAGACAUCACCGCAGUACAUGAAGAUCAGAGUGAGGACGUUUCCAAGGCAACAAAGAAACUCAAGGAGAGUGAGGAUGAAAAGGAGGUCGAGGAGAGGGUCUUCAGGGAGCUGCGUCGGAGGAGGAGAGCACCAGUUGACCCCAUCAGGAUAGAGACAGGACUGAUCCGGAGGCGUGUACAGCCCUCCAGGAAGAUAGAAAUGAUCGUCCCUGAGAAAUCGUGGAUGAAGAGGGAGAAGAAGAAGAAAGACAAAACGAAGGAUGUCCUAGCAAUGGAAGGGGUUGGACUAUGGAAGAGCACACUGUCAGAAGCAUCACAGAGCUCCCCAAAGGAUGCUGACCAGGGAAUGGAAACUACCCACGGCAUUGAACCAGUGGAAAUGUCAGAGGAUAUAGAACAGCCAGGCAAGUCACUCAGUAGUCCGACACCAGCAGGCGACACUGAGAAUUCCCAGCUGUUGCAGAGGCCAUUGUCCCCCUCACCCAAGCCAGACACAUCACCCGAAACAUCACAAUCGGAGGACAAAACGAUGCGGAAAAUCGACCAGGACACGGAGAUCAUCGGAGUCAUCGAAACCAGCAAAGACGCAAGCGAUAACUUCGAUGACAUGGACCUGGGCGGCGCCAGCUGGAGCAUGCGGUGGCUGCAGAGCGAGAAGGUGCAGAAGGUUGUGACGAGUAGCAAGAUGUUGAGCCGAGUGCGCAAGAAGAUCCAGAAGAAGGAGAAGGCCACUAAGGGGGUCAUGGCAGAGAAGGUGGAGGAGGCACAGAGGCCGUCCGAGGGUGCCGUCCCCGUCAUAGGCAGCAUCGAGGAGUACGAACGCCUCUUUGGCACCAGGGUUAAGAAGGACGAGGCUGCCGGUGCUCAGGAAUAUUCAGGGCAGGGACAAACACCAGGGAUCUCCGCGCAGACUCAAGUCGAUAUUCCAGAGGUGAAGGACAAGGGUAACCCGGUGUUUGGCUCAGAUGAUGACGGGGAGGACAGCGAGGAGGAAGCCCUGUGGUCGAAAAUUAUUAAAAAGUAGUGGAUAACAAACACUAUAGGACUUUACUGUUUUGGCAUUGGUGGUAUUGGGAGCCUCUGCCCAAAUUAAGGUAACAUUUAUGAGGCAAAAGAUAAGGGUAACCCCAUCUUUGGCUCAGACGAUGAUGAGGAAGACUGGUUGGAAACGAUUAAAAAGUAGUGGAUAACAAACACUAUAGGACUUUACUGUUUUUUUUAACCCAAUGCCUAGUCUAAUUAUAUGGAUGAAUGCUAUUUAUAUGUGAAUAAAUUAUUGAAAUCAC